rnacentral:rRNA from 1 species
ACGCUCGACACCUACCGAGGCAGCAGUGAGGAAUAUUGGUCAAUGGGCGCUAGCCUGAACCAGCCAAGUAGCGUGAAGGAUGAAGGCUCUAUGGGUCGUAAACUUCUUUUAUAUAAGAAUAAAGUGCAGUAUGUAUACUGUUUUGUAUGUAUUAUAUGAAUAAGGAUCGGCUAACUCCGUGCCAGCAGCCGCGGUAAUCUGAGCGGGCUGGCAAGGC